AGUGAACGCUGGCGGUAGGCCUAACACAUGCAAGUCGAACGGCAGCACAGGAGAGCUUGCUCUCUGGGUGGCGAGUGGCGGACGGGUGAGGAAUACAUCGGAAUCUACCCUGUCGUGGGGGAUAACGUAGGGAAACUUACGCUAAUACCGCAUACGACCUACGGGUGAAAGCAGGGGACCUUCGGGCCUUGCGCGAUUGAAUGAGCCGAUGUCGAAUUAGCUAGUUGGCGGGGUAAAGGCCCACCAAGGCGACGAUCCGUAGCUGGUCUGAGGGGAUGAUCAGCCACACUGGAACUGAGACACGGUCCAGACUCCUACGGGAGGCAGCAGUGGGGGAUAUUGGACAAUGGGCGCAAGCCUGAUCCAGCCAUACCGCGUGGGUGAAGAAGGCCUUCGGGUUGUAAAGCCCUUUUGUUGGGAAAGAAAUCCAGCUGGCUAAUACCCGGUUGGGAUGACGGUACCCAAAGAAUAAGCACCGGCUAACUUCGUGCCAGCCGCCGCCGUAA
rnacentral:rRNA from 1 species